rnacentral:snoRNA from 1 species
AUCCUAUGAUUUGGACACUUCCUCAUCAACUCCUUAAAUCUGUUACAGGCCUCGUUAUAGCUUUCUCUAUCUUUCUGUUGAAAGGUUUGAAUUCUCAAUCUGAUUUU